AAAUAGAUACCCAGGUAGUCCACGCCCUAAACGAUGUCAACUAGCUGUUGGGGCCUUCGGGCCUUGGUAGCGCAGCUAACGCGUGAAGUUGACCGCCUGGGGAGUACGGUCGCAAGAUUAAAACUCAAAGGAAUUGACGGGGACCCGCACAAGCGGUGGAUGAUGUGGAUUAAUUCGAUGCAACGCGAAAAACCUUACCUACCCUUGACAUGUCUGGAAUCCUGAAGAGAUUUAGGAGUGCUCGCAAGAGAACCGGAACACAGGUGCUGCAUGGCUGUCGUCAGCUCGUGUCGUGAGAUGUUGGGUUAAGUCCCGCAACGAGCGCAACCCUUGUCAUUAGUUGCUACGAAAGGGCACUCUAAUGAGACUGCCGGUGACAAACCGGAGGAAGGUGGGGAUGACGUCAAGUCCUCAUGGCCCUUAUGGGUAGGGCUUCACACGUCAUACAAUGGUCGGGACAGAGGGUCGCCAACCCGCGAGGGGGAGCCAAUCCCAGAAACCCGAUCGUAGUCCGGAUCGCAGUCUGCAA
rnacentral:rRNA from 1 species